rnacentral:rRNA from 1 species
GAUGAACGCUGGCGGCGUGCCUAAUACAUGCAAGUCGAGCGAACAGACGAGGAGCUUGCUCCUCUGACGUUAGCGGCGGACGGGUGAGUAACACGUGGAUAACCUACCUAUAAGACUGGGAUAACUUCGGGAAACCGGAGCUAAUACCGGAUAAUAUAUUGAACCGCAUGGUUCAAUAGUGAAAGACGGUUUUGCUGUCACUUAUAGAUGGAUCCGCGCCGCAUUAGCUAGUUGGUAAGGUAACGGCUUACCAAGGCAACGAUGCGUAGCCGACCUGAGAGGGGGAACGGCCACACUGGAACUGAGACACGGUCCAGACUCCUACGGGAGGCAGCAGUAGGGAAUCUUCCGCAAUGGGCGAAAGCCUGACGGAGCAACGCCGCGUGAGUGAUGAAGGUCUUCGGAUCGUAAAACUCUGUUAUUAGGGAAGAACAAAUGUGUAAGUAACUAUGCACGUCUUGACGGUACCUAAUCAGAAAGCCACGGCUAACUACGUG